UCCUGGUUAACCCAGGCAGUCUCAUUAGAGUUCCCACCUUCACGUGUUGGCAACUAAUGAUAAGGGUUGCGCUCGUUGCGGGACUUAACCCAACACCUCACGGCACGAGCUGACGACAGCCAUGCAGCACCUGUGCAGAGGCCCUUUCGGGCUUUACUAUCUCUAGUAAAUCCCUCUGCAUGUCAAGCCUGGGUAAGGUUCUUCGCGUUGCAUCGAAUUAAACCACAUGCUCCACUGCUUGUGCGGGUCCCCGUCAAUUCUUUUGAGUUUCAGCCUUGCGGCUGUACUUCCCAGGCGGUAUACUUAUCGCGUUUGCUUCGGCACAACUAGGGUUGAGUCCAGUUACACCAAGUAUACAUCGUUUACAGCAAGGACUAC
rnacentral:misc_RNA from 1 species